rnacentral:misc_RNA from 1 species
GAGGUAUAUACCCAUCUCAAUCUGAAACGCGAAAUAAGGAUGCAGUGACAAAGGAAGAGGGACAAAAAACCAAUGUAACAAAAUUGUAUCCAACAACUUCAGCCAGAAACCCAAACAUAAAACACUAUUUAUUGCCGCAACAAAUAAUAGCUCCCAUGGCCAUUUCAGACCAGAUGAUUUCUUUGGCUAGUGAGAAACAGAAGUUUAGUCUCAAAACUCAAAGACCAUAGUUUUUUUCUCUAUGUUCUUUAAUA